ensembl:ribozyme RNaseP_nuc Nuclear RNase P
GGUGGAGGGAAGCUCAUUGGUGGGGCCACGAGUUGAGUGCACUUAGUCACUCUCCCACAUGUUCCUUGAGAAAGUCUGAGACUAGGGCCAAGAACAGGCAGUAACAGGGCCUCCCUGAGCUUCCAGAGGUGAGUUUCCAGAGAAUGUGGUUCCAUGCACGAUGGUAGACAGGACAAGAGAUGCCAUGGACGCCACACUUGUGGAGGGGCCUGGAAGAUGCCUCUUUAGCCAGAGCAUGGAACAGACUCAAGCUCGCCAGGACUACUUGAUGCAAACACUUCAUUAUAAAAUGGAGUAUUGGGCUUCUACCAAAUUUUACAUU